ensembl:lncRNA
GGUUUAUAAAUCCCUCGGUAUCGGCGCGGCUCUUUCUCUGGCUGUCCGGCGGACGCUAUUUUUUUCCUCGGUGUGUUACUACCUCCACGAGUCGGCCUCGUGGUCCAGAUAAGCCGGCUGUGGGGCUUUUGAAAGGUCUUUAAAGCAUUGGCAUUUCAAAGCAGGAGAAGAUCCUUGCUUUAAAUUUCAUUUCAGCGCAGCUGACAGCCACACAGCGGCCUGUGACACAUCGGCCUGCGUCUGAAUGCUGAUGUCACUCAGAGGUCAUCGCUGCCCGCUGGACGGCCCUUUCAUUUGUGCGUGUGUGUGUGUGUGUGUGGAAAGGUUUGAACCAGCUCCACCCUGCAUGGUACCACUUUUUGAUUUCCUUAUUUCAUGGCCAGGGGAAUAGCUUAAAGGCUCACCCGGCUUCACCUGCACCUCCACCCAGCUGAUGAAAUCUUCAGAAAUCCUCGAGCCACACCGAUCCUGGCGCUGUAUCGUAUGGACGCCGCUUAUUUCACAUGUAGCGGCUCUGUCUGCCUGUGUGUGUGUGUGCGUUCGCAUGACUGAUUG